rnacentral:rRNA from 1 species
CACAGGUGCUGCAUGGUUGUCGUCAGCUCGUGCCUUGAGGUGUUCGGUUAAGUCCGUUAACGAGCGCAACCCAUGUCGUUAGUUAUAAUGUCUAACGAGACUGCCUAAGGUUAAAUUUAGGAGGAAGGUGUGGAUGACGUCAAAUCAGCAUGGCCCUUAUGCCUAGGGCCACACACAUGAUACAAUGGUCGGUACAAAAAGCAGCAAUAUGGUAACAUAGAGCUAAUCUAAAAAGCCGAUCUCAGUCCGGAUUGAGGUCUGAAACUCGACCUCAUGAAGUUGGAAUUGCUAGUAAUCGUGAAUCAGAUAUGUCACGGUGAAUAUGUUCCUGGGUCUU